UGGGGUUGUGACUCAGUGGUAGAGCACUUGCCUAGCAUGUGUGAAGCACUGGGUUCAAUUCUCAGCAAUAA
rnacentral:tRNA from 1 species